rnacentral:ncRNA from 2 species
UGAUCAACUUCGGGGAGUCCACGUAAUGGACUGAGAGGACUUUAAUCAAGUCGACCCGUUAAACCUGAUCUGGGUGAUGCCAGCGGAGGGAAAGUUAUUAUAUUUUUU